GAUGAACGCUGGCGGCGUGCUUAACACAUGCAAGUCGAACGGAAAGGCUCCUGCUUGCAGGGGUACUCGAGUGGCGAACGGGUGAGUAACACGUGGGUGAUCUGCCCUGCACUUCGGGAUAAGCCUGGGAAACUGGGUCUAAUACCGGAUAGGACGAUGGUUUGGAUGCCAUUGUGGAAAGUUUUUCGGUGUGGGAUGAGCUCGCGGCCUAUCAGCUUGUUGGUGGGGUAAUGGCCUACCAAGGCGUCGACGGGUAGCCGGCCUGAGAGGGUGUACGGCCACAUUGGGACUGAGAUACGGCCCAGACUCCUACGGGAGGCAGCAGUGGGGAAUUUUGCACAAUGGGCGCAAGCCUGAUGCAGCGACGCCGCGUGGGGGAUGACGGCCUUCGGGUUGUAAACUCCUUUCGCUAGGGACGAAGCGCAAGUGACGGUACCUGGAGAAGAAGCACCGGCUAACUACGUG
rnacentral:rRNA from 1 species